rnacentral:rRNA from 1 species
CCUACGGGAGGCAGCAGUGGGGAAUAUUGCACAAUGGGGGAAACCCUGAUGCAGCGACGCCGCGUGAGUGAAGAAGUAUUUCGGUAUGUAAAGCUCUAUCAGCAGGGAAGAAAAAAGACGGUACCUGACUAAGAAGCCCCGGCUAACUACGUGCCAGCAGCCGCGGUAAUACGUAGGGGGCAAGCGUUAUCCGGCUUUACUGCGUGUAAAGGGCGCGUAGACGGCGCGGCAAGUCUGCAGGGAAAGGCAGGGGCUUAACCCCUGAACUGCUUUGGAAACUGCCCUGCUGGAGUGCUGGAGAGGUAAGUGGAAUGCCUGGUGUAGCGGGGAAAUGCGUAGAUAUUAGGAGGAACACCAGUGGCGAAGGCGGCUGACUGGACAGUAACUGACGUUGAGGCUCGAAGGCGUGGGGAGCAAACAGGAUUAGAUACCCUUGUAGUC